GUGAAUCAUCAAAUUUUUGAACGCAAAUUGCGCCUUUUUCGGAAGGCAUGUCUGUUUGAGGGCACCAUUUAACAAAUAAUGUGCAGCGUUUUUUUUUGCACACGUUGAUGAGCUUUCCAAGAAUUUUAAAUUUUUGGUGGCGCAUAAUGAACAGCGGGAAAGUUUUUUUCAUUUCGAUUGUAUUAAAAUCUUUGCUUGGUUUGUGAAAAAACAUAAUCGCGCAAGGGGGGGGGCAAUUUCUUUUUAUCCCUGCCCCAAUCCCACCUUUUCCCCCGGAAGAAUUUCUAUUCU
rnacentral:misc_RNA from 1 species